UAACCUGCCUCUUUCUUUUUCGCGUAACGUGCAACAAGUGCACUUUGUCUAAAUGAUGUUCUAAGAUCGUUCACCCCUAAACUCCCCUGAUCUUUUCAAGGGAAAUGUAUAUAAUUUUUUUUGUUCCAAUUUAACAUUCUACGUUGCGACGAUUUGCAUGACAAAGUAACAAUUUGCCUAUCUUGUCGUCGAAUAGCGAACGAGAAAUACGCGCGCUCGUACGUGAGCGUGGGCAGCAGCCGAGGGAUCGGUUUUCAUCGGUUAUAGUCAAGCCUACCUCCAACCUAUGCUUGUUAGUCGUCAUGCUACCAAGAUAAUCCUUGAUCUCUAAGUCAAGCGUUCGUCGUUAGAGUAAGCCUAUGUCGGCCAUUGUCUUCGUAACGAUAGCGAUCAAUCGGUAUGGUUCGACGCCCCCGGCGACACCAUAGGCGAUCCUCAUUCCAAUCUCGGAUAUCGGCUUCAUCGUUCUGGCACUGCGUCUCCGAAAUGUCUUCAUUUAUCUUAUUCAAAUGAGACGUUUUCGGAUAGCUUUUAUUUGAAUAAAAGAAAACGACCCUUUUAAGAAAUUCGAAAAUUAAGACUCGUGCGAUAUAUAUCGCAAUUAUUUCACAUUUAUUUUAUAAAUAUAAUACAUUUCUGUUUUUAAUUAAAAAAAAUUUUUUCCUUUACUUUUUAAAAAUCAAUUAUAGAGUUUAUUUAUAUACUUAAAGUUGCCUUGAUAUAAAAUGAUAUAAAAUACCAACCGUCUUUUUAAUAAGACUGGUUCUGGACUCAUUCAGUGUCAGGACCAUUUCCGCAUCUGGAUGCGGGUAUCAGACCGGAUUGAUAGAGUGGCAGUAACUCGGUAGCUGAAAAUGGGAGUGGUUGGGAGACAAGAGGACAACUCGCUCAAAGACAUCUUCGUGGCGCCUCUGCGCGACUGCAAGGAAUGAAGGAACCCAGUGGGUCUCAGCCGUUAGGCAAACCAUUAUGAAUCUCCCACUCUACGCGCUGGACGCAAGAACUCGAAUGGUGAAGCAAUCCGUACACCUGUUGCCUAGAUCCAUGAUUUAUUUCGAAGAUUUCCUUUCUUCUUGUAUCUCUCGCGCCACACGUUUCUCUACGCAUUGUGCGUGGGUUGCGAGUGGAAUAUUUUUCACGUGCGCGGGACAAAACGCGCGACGUGAAAUAUUCUCGUACACGGCGAUGCAUCAAUUCGAAGACGCUACACUUGAGGGGGUGGAAAGGGGGAUAGCGGAGAAAAGGGGGAAAUCUCGGGAGCACGAGAAGAAAUAAAGGAUCUCAGCUCCGUGAAUAGUCUCCUCUUCGAUUCGAUACGAUCGGAGAUCUUUGCUAGGCUAAUACAGAGGGUAGCAUGCGUACCGCAUUGUUAACUUGCAUGUCUCUCGCAUUCGUAACUGAAAAAAUAAAAAAAGAAAAAAA